UAUGACCAAUUUCGUGACAGUUGUAGC
rnacentral:piRNA from 1 species